rnacentral:rRNA from 1 species
GUCCACGCCCUAAACGAUGUCAACUAGUUGUUGGGAGAGUAAAUCUCUUAGUAACGCAGCUAACGCGUGAAGUUGACCGCCUGGGGAGUACGGUCGCAAGAUUAAAACUCAAAGGAAUUGACUGGGGCCCCGCACAAGCGGUGGAUUAUGUGGAUUAAUUCGAUGCAACGCGAAAACCUUACCUGGCCUUUACAUGCCACUAACGAAGCAGAGAUGCAUUAGGUGCCCGAAAGGGAAAGUGGACACAGGUGCUGCAUGGCUGUCGU